GGACGCAGCGAACUGCGAUAAGCCUCGGGGAGCGGUAAGCACGCUUUGAUCCGGGGAUCUCCGAAUGGGGCAACCCACCAUCUGUAAUGGGAUGGUAUCCUUCACUGAAUACAUAGGUGAUGAGAAGGCAGACCCGGUGAACUGAAACAUCUAAGUAGCCGGAGGAAGAGAAAACAAUAGUGAUUCCGUCAGUAGUGGCGAGCGAACGCGGAAGAGCCUAAACCGUCGGGUUUACCCGGCGGGGUUGUGGGGCGUCUCACAUGGAGUUACAAAAGACGCGCGUAGGUGAACAGCUUGGGAAAGCUGACCAUAGAGCGUGAUAGUCGCGUACCCUAAACGCGCGUCUCUCCGAGACCAACCCCGAGUAGCGCGGGACACGUGAAAUCCCGUGUGAAUCUGGCAGGACCAUCUGCUAAGGCUAAAUACUACCUAGCGACCGAUAGUGAACCAGUACCGUGAGGGAAAGGUGAAAAGCACCCCGGGAGGGGAGUGAAAUAGUACCUGAAACCGUGUGCUUACAAAUAGUCGGAGCCCGUUAAAAGGGUGACGGCGUGCCUUUUGUAGAAUGAACCGGCGAGUUACGGUAGCGUGCGAGGUUAAGUUGAAGAGACGGAGCCGCAGCGAAAGCGAGUCUGAAUAGGGCGAUAGUACGCUGCCGUAGACCCGAAACCGUGUGAUCUAGCCAUGUCCAGGGUGAAGGUAGGGUAACACCUACUGGAGGCCCGAACCCACGCACGUUGAAAAGUGCGGGGAUGAGGUGUGGCUAGCGGUGAAAUUCCAAUCGAACUCGGAGAUAGCUGGUUCUCCCCGAAAUAGCUUUAGGGCUAGCCUCGGAAUUUAGAGUCUUGGAGGUAGAGCACUGAUUGGACUAGGGGCCCUCAUCGGGUUACCGAAUUCAGUCAAACUCCGAAUGCCAAUGACUUAUGUCCGGGAGUCAGACGGUGAGUGCUAAGAUCCAUCGUCAAAAGGGAACAGCCCAGACCAUCAGCUAAGGUCCCAAAGUAUACGUUAAGU
rnacentral:rRNA from 1 species